rnacentral:rRNA from 1 species
UAUCCGGAUUUAUUGGGUUUAAAGGGAGCGUAGGCGGACGCUUAAGUCAGUUGUGAAAGUUUGCGGCUCAACCGUAAAAUUGCAGUUGAUACUGGGUGUCUUGAGUACAGUAGAGGCAGGCGGAAUUCGUGGUGUAGCGGUGAAAUGCUUAGAUAUCACGAAGAACUCCGAUUGCGAAGGCAGCUUGCUGGACUGUAACUGACGCUGAUGCUCGAAAGUGUGGGUAUCAAACAGGAUUAGAUACCCUGGUAGUCCACACAGUAAACGAUGAAUACUCGCUGUUUGCGAUAUACAGUAAGCGGCCAAGCGAAAGCGUUAAGUAUUCCACCUGGGGAGUACGCCGGCAACGGUGAAACUCAAAGGAAUUGACGGGGGCCCGCACAAGCGGAGGAACCUGUGGUUUAAUUCGAUGAUACGCGAGGAACCUUACCCGGGCUUGAAUUGCCACUGAAUGAUGUGGAAACAUGUCAGCCGCAAGGCAGUUGUGAAGGU